CCUACGGGAGGCUGCAGUGGGGAAUAUUGGACAAUGGGGGGAACCCUGAUCCAGCCAUGCCGCGUGUGUGAAGAAGGCCCUCGGGUUGUAAAGCACUUUCAGUGAGGAAGAACGCCUGGUGGUUAAUACCCAUCAGGAAAGACAGCACUCACAGAAGAAGCACCGGCUAACUCCGUGCCAGCAGCCGCGGUAAUACGGAGGGUGCGAGCGUUAAUCGGAAUUACUGGGCGUAAAGCGCGCGUAGGUGGCUUGAUAAGCCGGUUGUGAAAGCCCCGGGCUCAACCUGGGAACGGCAUCCGGAACUGUCAAGCUAGAGUGCAGGAGAGGAAGGUAGAAUUCCCGGUGUAGCGGUGAACUGCGUAGAGAUCGGGAGGAAUACCAGUGGCGAAGGCGGCCUUCUGGACUGACACUGACACUGAGGUGCGAAAGCGUGGGUAGCAAACAGGAUUAGAUACCCGUGUAGUC
rnacentral:rRNA from 1 species